CUCUCUUUGCCUCUCCCCUGCUUGCUUGUGCUCUCUGUCUCUGUCUCUGUCUCUCUCUCUCUCUCUCUGUCUCUUUCAAAAUAAACAAACGUUUUUUAAAAGUAUUUUGUCUCAUAGAAAGUGACCAGAAUAAGUUGUUUCAAAAGAUAACAAAGGACUAUUUUAUUUACUGGAUUUUUUUUUCAUAUGGUUGAACAUUAGUUAUGUAUGGCGAAAAAAAAUCCAAGUACGUGAAAUCUUAUUCUAAUAUUUUUCAAAUACUUCCCUGAAACAUAUUAGAACAUUCUGAGACCAUAAACCAGAAUCAAAAGCCCCUGAGAGACUUACAUUUUCCUGUCCUCGAGUUCCAGUUACAGCCUUAAAAAUUAUCUAAAUUAGCUCAUCCGUCUCAAAUCGCUGUGGCUAGAUGUAACCAAGGCACCGAAACAACACGAAAUGGCCUCAGUCCAGUCUUCAAGUCAAGAUAAGGAACAAAUAUGGAAACCCAGAAAAUUGAUAAGGCAAUGACAGAAAGUCCUCUUAAAUCAGAUGACAAGUUCUGGGGAACGCCUUUUUUUUUUUUUUCUAGUUUAAAUGAGAUCCCAUUAGAGCCUUGACUUUGGCAGUGCUGCUUUGCUACAUUUUAUUUCUCAAUUGCAGUCCGUUCUCAAAAUGUGGAUCAUUGAAUUACGAAUUUGCUGAAUUGGAUUUGAAAGCAAAACCAUGUAAGGCAAAAACACAACUGAAUUAGCGAUCUAACAAGCAGCAGGCAGGCUAGCUAGAGGGGCUUGCAGGAGAGGCAGACGUUUUCACCGAGAACCCACCCACGACUGGGUCACUGCAGACCUUAUCCAAGUUAAAUUGUUUGCAAAAUGCCUCCCUCGAACCCUGAUUAGUGGCCGCAUUUGGCAAUUACUCGAGUGAUCCUAAACGUGUCCCCCCGCCCCGGGACUUUGGAAGCACCGUACCCAGAGCGUCCACAUUCCCCUUCAAAGUAAAACACAGAGUCCUCGUUCCCUCCACGCACGAACUCUAAGCAGGUGCCGCGAAAGGCCUUGGGGAACUCGAGCUCGGCUGCCAUCCUCUCCCCGUGGGCCUUCCCCCCAGGACCCCCCUGUGGGCUGCCUCUUGUCAGCACGGCCCUGCCGGCGACGUCCCUUGCAAAUAAAUCAGCGGAAGUUCCAGGCCCACGGAGGAGGCUGCGGUCACCGACGGUGCAACACGCUGUCCGAGGCACUGGCUUGUCAGAGGCACCGGCUUAUUUCACUGCUGAGUGCGUGGGGCGCCUCCAAGGCCUCACCGCUGGGUUCCAUCCAGUCUGUGACCCAGUCUGUGGGGGAGGAGGUCCAGGGCCGGGAAACGCCAGCCCCAGAGCCACGGUCGGAGCCCUCGGAGAGUAGUGACCGAGCUACUCGUUUUGUGCUGAUACCUUCUUCCGGUGAUCGUUCGACACAACUAACCGACUCUGUCGCUCCCGCGGGAGACUUUACAUGCCUCCCCGAAUCAAAACGGGAGUCACCUAUCCGUCCAGCAAACAGAGAAGAAGCGCCUCUCGUAUGCCGUGAACCCGACAGACACAGAUCCCUCCCACUGCCGAACUUCCUUCCUGGCGACAGAGACAGACGUGGAUCGGAAAACACAGCAAACAGGUAAAUUGUACGGUGUGUCAGGUGCUAAGUGCUAAGGCAGAAGGAAGAACUGAGAGCGGAGAAAGAUUUGGAAACAUGAGCGCUUGGCGAGGGAGGGAGGUGUGAGCGGGUGUCAUGUUUGUAGAACAAUCUAUCAAAUCACAAAAACAAAAUCACCAGCAGGCAAGCCACGAAGGUCUUCAGUCCUGCGCAAUGCCAGCUAAAAUCUGGCCGUCUCCACCCCACCCCCAGGACGGCUGUGGUUUCAUCACCACUGCAUAAAUACGCAAAGAAGGCCGGAUUUCAUUCCGAGCCACUGGGCAUCCGCUCUGCCCUAACAGCGUUCUCGCCAGGCAACUUUAGGCUUAUGUCACUUGAAGCAGGAAUUCAGGCGGUCCCCAACAGGAGCCACCACAGAGAUAAUAACUGCCCUCUGAGGACAAAUUAGGCGACAGGAGCAGGGUUUCCACAUCAACGUCGACACGCGGCGGGUUUUUCUGUGUCCGACAAGGCUGAAUUUGCCAGCUGAGCCUCCGAGUAAACGGACGCUGUCUGUAUUUUAGAAAAAAUGAAAUCACACGCAUCGAUUUCUCUCAUAGUGAGGAGGCUUACACAAAUGCCUAAUAGGUAAAUAUUGAAAUGUAGAGCACCGGGAUUGCACGAAAGAAGAAGGGGUGCAGUUAACUCAUGAGGAUUGAGUAGCAAGAGAAUGACCACAGGUAUCUUGGCCCAUAUGGGCUCCUGUAAGAAAAUAAUAAUACAUAGACUGGGUGGCAUAUAAACAACGGACAUUCACCUCGCGUGUCUCUGGAGGCUGGAAGUCCAAGGUCGCGACAGAUCCAGAGUCUGGUGAGAGCUGCCUCCUGGUUCAUAGACAUCACAGGGGAAAGCACAGGGGGCCUGGGGUCUUCUCUGUGAGGUCGAUGAUCACAUCAUGGGGCCUCUGCCUCUUGGCCCUCUCACCUCCCACAGGCCCUAACUCCUAACACCAUCAUCUUGGGGGUUAAGUUUCAACAUCUGCAUUUGCAGGGGACACAAAUAUUCAGUCUGUAGUAGCAGGACACCCUUUUUUUUUGUACCUUUGUUUACCUCAAACACCAGCCUUUAGAGUGAAAGAACCUUGUAGUCCAGAUGGCCGUGAGGUGCUUCAGACCAGGGAUUUAACAGUUUCCGGCAGUGGCAGAGAAAGGACAGUUCCCACGGGGAGAAGGGGCAGAAUGCCUCACGUCAGAAAUGAAGAACCACUCCUCUAUGUGACAGAUGACAAGGCUGAGUCCCUCAGUGGCCGCCCAAGGCUGGCUUGUGCCAAGUGGCAGAUUGAAGACACAUUCUCCUUGAGAGCUAGGAAUGGAAGCGGAUCUCGUCUGGGGAGAGGAAGGAGGUGUCUAUCUUUGCUCUCCGAAAAGUGAAUCAAUCUAAGUCAAUCGCUCUCACUGCCUACAUGUGAAGACCUACAGAGGUCACUCCCCACAAACCCGCCCUGACUCCUACCCUGGCUUCUGGAAAAUUUCCGACUCCAGCAGCCAUUCUGGCCAACAAGAGCGGGGCCAGGUCCACUCGGUUUGUCUAACACAGGUUUCAACUAAGGCACAAUCAACAGGGUCACAAAAAGUUGUAGGAAUUCAGGGUGAUGGAUGUACUUGGCAUAUAGAUAUGAAGGGAGCUCAACAACGUGUGGUGAACUGAACUGGUAUUUUACUUUGUGAGAGGGAGGUAUGCCCGUGUUUAAGCUGAUUCUACUCAUUUAAACAUGGAGUUUUCCUGCAACUGAA